rnacentral:rRNA from 1 species
CUUCGGUUUGGGUGGCGGACGGGUGAGUAACGCGUAAAGAACUUGCCUCACAGUUAGGGACAACAUUUGGAAACGAAUGCUAAUACCUGAUAUUAUGAUUUUAGGGCAUCCUAAGAUUAUGAAAGCUAUAUGCGCUGUGAGAGAGCUUUGCGUCCCAUUAGCUAGUUGGAGAGGUAACGGCUCACCAAGGCGAUGAUGGGUAGCCGGCCUGAGAGGGUGAACGGCCACAAGGGGACUGAGACACGGCCCUUACUCCUACGGGAGGCAGCAGUGGGGAAUAUUGGACAAUGGACCAAAAGUCUGAUCCAGCAAUUCUGUGUGCACGAUGACGUUUUUCGGAAUGUAAAGUGCUUUCAGUUGGGAAGAAAAAAAUGACGGUACCAACAGAAGAAGUGACGGCUAAAUACGUGCCAGCAGCCGCGGUAAUACGUAUGUCACAAGCGUUAUCCGGAUUUAUUGGGCGUAAAGCGCGUCUAGGUGGUUAUGUAAGUCUGAUGUGAAAAUGCAGGGCUCAACUCUGUAUUGCGUUGGAAACUGUAUGACUAGAGUACUGGAGAGGUAAGCGGAACUACAAGUGUAGAGGCGAAAUUCGUAGAUAUUUGUAGGAAUGCCGAUGGGGAAGCCAGCUUACUGGACAGAUACUGACGCUAAAGCGCGAAAGCGUGGGUAGCAAACAGGAUUAGAUACCCUGGUAGUCCACGCCGUAAACGAUGAUUACUAGGUGUUGGGGGUCGAACCUCAGCGCCCAAGCUAACGCG